AAGUUUUAUUAUGCAUGAUAUGCAUCAACAGAUAUGAAAGAGAAAAAAGAGGGGGGGAGAAAAAGGAGAAAAUCGUUUUUCUUGGAAUUGGAUCAAUUAUUGUUUUCACAAUGCAGACAGCAGGAGAUUGGCAAGAUGGAGAAAGCAAAUCUCUCCAGUGGUCCAUCAUGUGCUCAUGAAUAGCCUGCCAUUUCAAUUUUCUUUUUUUAAAUGUCUCAACCCAUGGAUAUGGAUUGCACAAAACAUUAACCUCCCAAAACAUUGAAUCUCCCAAAACAAUCACCCAGAUUUUGUCAUCACGUGAGUGAAUGAGCCAAAAUCUCUAAUAUUUAUAGAGUUACUUAUACACUCUGAGAAAAAAAAUUCUCUGUUACGCUAUUUAACACAUUAUGUGUAAUUUUGUGUGGAGUUUUUUGCAAAGUAACACAAAAUGUGUUUUUAAUAAGAACACAGAGAUGUGUGUAUUAAGGGACAAUGCAUUUAGUGUGUUGUCUCUAAACUAACACUGAUUGUGUUGUUUUUGGGCGAACCUUAAAUACAAGCUCCAUUUUUAGAAAAUGAAGUCUAUAACCAGAUGAGGAGAGAGUGGGAAUGUGUGCUUGUUUUUAUCUGUGGUCUUCCAUCGUGUGACAUUUGAAGGAUGAGAGACCCUUUCUUACUGUAAACUGAAACAGGAAGAGAUUUUUUAUUGAUGUAAGCAGACAGAAAGGGAGAAACCAAGGAGAGAGAAAGUUAACAAGAGAAUAUCAGAGAGCUGAAGUUUAAAGAAAAACAGAAAUUACGGUUGGAGAGGUGCAAACGAUAUACAGUGACAGAGCGACAAAGGUAAUAUUAUCUUUCUCUCUCUCACUUGCACCUCUCCCCGUUUCCUGUUUGUUUAUUAAUCAAAAGUGUCACUGUCACUCCCCAGCGGUGAAGACAAGUAAAGCAAAAUGUCCUUUAAAUGCGACGGGUUCUCGUGUGCCGUGACUUUAUAAACUUCCCGGCAUCCCUUUUGCCAAGGAAAUGAUGACGCAUCAUUUUGCUGACACAAAUCAGCUGAUUGUUGUGUCACGGCACUGGUUUUAGGCGUGUGGCAGUGCUCUGGCUAUAGACGUAGUCCUUUUUUUCUCCCAGACGCAGUGCGGCACAGCCAGACGACUAGAGCGGAGACACAGAAGCUCACAGCUGCAGUCGACUAGCUAGUUUUGGAUAGGCACAGGAGCUCCUUCCUCUCCAAACACCGUAGCUCGAUUCCGCUCUUCAUCGCUGCUCGGGGAUAAUUUUCAUCAGGCGAAGCAGCCGAAGAUAGUACAGCCAAAACAAGAUCGAAACAAACUCUGGGAAAACCUGGAAUUACGCUCUUCAGAAAAUUUGGAAAGGCAAGCUCGGAUGAUGAUUACUUUCAUCUGCCUGAAUCACAUACAGGGUCCCAAGGUUGCGAAUGGUUUGAAAUCCAGUCCGUCCCAUCACGAACGUCCAAUCAGUCGGGCCCGUUUGCUUUGGAUUCAGGCGGUUGUCCCGUUCCAACAUUAAGGUGGCUUCGCUUGUCCGUGGCUUCGCUGAGUCCGUGUCCAGUGGGCAGUGCUGAGUCGAACAGAAACAUCGAUGCAGCGGCUAAGCUGAGCUGAGCCAGGCAGACGCGGUGACCUAAAUCAGCCCCAGCCAUGUCUGUACGCAGCCAGAGCGAAGCAGACAGAAAGCAAGGCAGAGCGAGAGCACUGAGGGGAGAGCGAACCACACAUACUGUCUCGUACGUAUACUCACACUACGGUAGGUUUGGGUGACUGCAAUUAGUCUGUAAAGCAAUAGGACGACACGUUGAUUCGUUCACCUCCUUUUUCGAUUCUUCUACUUCCUCUGCAGUUCUUACUGAUGUUGUCCUUAGCUGAGCUCUCUCAGUGGAUUAGAUGUCUGUGGCUGCGCUCGUAUCUUUGUGCUAUAGGGAUGAAGAGAAACAGAGAUGACGGAGGGGAGGGGUAGACAGAAUUGUCUCUCUCUCUUUCUCUUUCUCAGCAGUUCUAUUAGCUGGUUUAACCCAUCCGCACUCUCGAAUCCAGCAUGAAAAGUCAUGGGGGAAGACCUUCGACCUUCUUCUGCCCAUGAAGUAUGUGAAUGCAUAAAUGAAAGGACAUAAGUGUAUCUUGGAGAGAAGUUAUGAUUUAAAACACUUCCCAGGGAAGAAUGACUAUACUGUUGGAGAACAUAGCUAAGUGUUGAGGUCCUGAAGGAACUCAGCUCAAUACCUCGAGGACUACAGAGGCCACCGAAUCAGCAUUUCAAAGUGAAACUCCUUUGCGCAAAGACCUUUGAAUUGAAACUGAAAAGUUUCUCCCUGCCAGCCGCAUCGGCUCACCUCUGAUUGACCUCUCUCAAUCUGUGUCUCUCUGUUGUGAAGAACAGGCAUAAAGUAAGACAGAGUUAAUAGAGUUUAGGAGCAAGAUCCAAACCGCAUUGGAGUAAAAGGAGAGAGAGAGGGCGAGAGAGAUUGAGCAAAAGAGAGAGCGAGAUCCCUAAGGGAGAAGAUUGAGUUUGGGCUGCCCAAGGAGAUUCUCAGCUCUAAUUGGCCGAAUGCCUCAACGCUAUGUUCCCACAAUGCCUUGUGACUUUCUCUAAAUUCUCGAUGGACUCCUCAAGGUUACCGUCACUCUUCGGCGUUAUCGCAGCUUGCUUUAAGCCGCUGUAGCAAAUCUCUUUUAAUGGAGUGAUUGACUACCGAAAAUAGCUGGCAGAAUAUUCAAAACUGGAAUUGGCCGGGUACCCGUUGCUUCAUACGAACACACAGAUCCAUCAGCUUUAGUGUUCAUAUACAUCUGCAAGCACUACAGUGAUAUAAAUUACAAAUAAACGCAGCGUGAUCAUCAAAAAUGGUCGGGUUGAGCUUUGAUUCAAUUUGAUAAGAGUGAAAUAUUCCUGUGGAAAAUAUCUAGCUUUCCUAAUUUGUUUAUAUGUAUGUUGUUUACACCAGUAAGGGGCUCGAUGUAACUAAAUUCUGUGCGUGCUAACCUUGUCAUCUUCCUCUCCAACAGAUCGCUGUAUUUAUGAAAUAAAGAGGCUAUAAUGAAAAGCAUGCCCUUGAUUCCACGAGCCACGAGGUGUGUUUUCUAUUUAUCAUUUCCAGAGAGAAAGGCAUUUCUUUUGAAUUCAAACACAGCCUCGACUAACAAAAUAACCUUUUAUGUGUAUCAAAAUGAAAAUAAAAAAAUGAUCACUGCUUUCA